AGACGGAGCGACGGCGGGGGAGGCGCUUCCGCCUCAUACCAUGGGGGACCCGCGCGGUCAGCGCACUUCCGCUCGGGGCGGAUUCUGGGGCUGCGGGGAGAGUAGGACGGAAGUGGGUACCCUCGUGGGCAUCGCGUUUAGCCAAGUUAAGCUAGGGUGGGUACUGACUGUUGACCUAGGGUCAGACAUAUGUCACACAUAUGGCAGAGGCGGAAUUCAACUUGGAUGUACCUCUCCCUAGGGCGUGCGAUGGCCACCUCAUGUCUAAGCUGGAGCUAAGGUGUGGAUGUGGCCUAACACCCCCCACUCCUUUGCGAUCCGAUACAUGUUUGCAUCCUUCUCUGGGAAUCAGCCAGUAACUGACAUGGAAGACAUUCAGCAGAGGCCGAAUGAGUGCUCCCCUGGGCUGGCUGUGACAGAGUGAGGGGCUCAUUAGUCCUCACCUACCAUUGCGGCUCUCUAUGGUCCCUUGUUCCUUCUGGGCGCUCCGAGAGCAGACCGAACUCACACAUCACAGUUGAUGCCCUACCUCACAGUGUGUGUUUGUGUGUGUGGUUGUUGUUGUUGUUGUCGUUUUACUUUGAGAUUGGUUCUAUGUAGCCCUAACCCCCUGCCUGUUCUGGAACUUUCUAUGUAGAUGUGGCUGACUUUGAACCUACAGAGAUCUGCCUACUUCUACCUCCUCAGUGCUAGAAUUAAAUACGUGUGCCACCA